UGCUGACAUAAGUAACGAUAAAGCGGGUGAAAAGCCCGCUCGCCGGAAGACCAAGGGUUCCUGUCCAACGUUAAUCGGGGCAGGGUGAGUCGACCCCUAAGGCGAGGCCGAAAGGCGUAGUCGAUGGGAAACAGGUUAAUAUUCCUGUACUUGGUGUUACUGCGAAGGGGGGACGGAGAAGGCUAUGUUAGCCGGGCGACGGUUGUCCCGGUUUAAGCAUGUAGGCUGGUUGUCCAGGCAAAUCCGGAUAAUCAAGGCUGAGAGCACGGAGAC
rnacentral:rRNA from 1 species